UGAACGCUGGCGGCGUGCCUAAUACAUGCAAGUCGAGCGAACAGACGAGGAGCUUGCUCCUCUGACGUUAGCGGCGGACGGGUGAGUAACACGUGGAUAACCUACCUAUAAGACUGGGAUAACUUCGGGAAACCGGAGCUAAUACCGGAUAAUAUAUUGAACCGCAUGGUUCAAUAGUGAAAGACGGUUUUGCUGUCACUUAUAGAUGGAUCCGCGCCGCAUUAGCUAGUUGGUAAGGUAACGGCUUACCAAGGCAACGAUGCGUAGCCGACCUCAGAGGGUGAUCGGCCACACUGGAACUGAGACACGGUCCAGACUCCUACGGGAGGCAGCAGUAGGGAAUCUUCCGCAAUGGGCGAAAGCCUGACGGAGCAACGCCGCGUGAGUGAUGAAGGUCUUCGGAUCGUAAAACUCUGUUAUUAGGGAAGAACAAAUGUGUAAGUAACUAUGCACGUCUUGACGGUACCUAAUCAGAAAGCCACGGCUAACUACGUG
rnacentral:rRNA from 1 species